rnacentral:lncRNA from 1 species
CUGCUAGAUAAACAGAAGUUUGUCCUGCCGAUCGACCACAAAACACGAAUUUGUCUAGCCACAUGUUCAAGAAGCAGGUCUGCUCUUUUGCGUCAACAGGGCCUGUUUUACGGUAUUUCUGGAUAUACCCUGACCAGCCGCCGAUGGCGCGGGUUUCUACCUUAGCACUGGGCUUAGUAUCAAAGAAGUGGGUGCUAUCGGCAAAAGAAAUGUCUAACCCGAUGAGCAUAGCCACAUCGGCAAGAGUAGGGGAAGCAGGACCAUGGCCAAAGACAAAGGCGUUGAGCGUGUCUGACCAGAAGUAUGAUGCAACUAUUAGCAGUGACUCGUUCCUAUGCAUAUCGGCAAUUGACAACCUAAUGCAUUGAGCUAGAUUUCUCUCACCCCACUGAACUUCAUUAGAGUUGCUGACCCUCAGGAACCAAUCCUUCCAUCCCACGGUAGGGCUGGGCCAGGAACGAAAAGCAUCCUUCCAUAGAUCCAAAGAAAAAUUCUCUACCCUAAAAGGGAUUCUGUUGGUUUCUGCAUUUAUGAGAUCGGUUGGAUCUGGAUCCCCUAGUGGGCCAAGGCAUUGGAGGUGUGGUUGAUCGGUGGGGAUGACAAUUUUGUUAGCUGAUUCCUAGUGGUUUUGGAGGUAGAAAAGAAAAACAAAAAAAAGGGGAAAAGAAAAUGCUCAGUAAGACUGCGGAUGAACAGGGAUGCGAGAAAAAGUACGAAGGAUAGUGCGAGGAACUGACCUCAGGGAUGAUGAAGUUGACGGCCAUUUUGCCACGGAGGAGAAGCUUGAGAGUUUUGGGGUUGGUGAAGAAGGAGCCUCGUCGGAGAUCUUGGAGCUUUUGGAACAGCGCCGCCACCGGGAAGGUGAGGUUAGAGUUGUGGAAUGAUGUGAUGGAGAAGGAGUACCCGAGAAGGAACUACUUAUAGGACAAAACGGGCAGGGGCAAAUCUGACUUAUCUCUUCGCCGCAUCCGAGAAAUCUGAGGGUGCUCAGGUAGAUAUGGUAACUGUUUGCACGGUAAUCAAGGGAUUGUGCAGGAGAUUUGACAGGAAGCGGUCGUUAUUCAGAGAUAUUUCACUGUGCGAGAUUUCCUGGUCGGUCCAUCGGCGG